rnacentral:rRNA from 1 species
CCUACGGUGAGCAGCAGUCGAGAAUCAUUCACAAUGGGGGAAACCCUGAUGGUGCGACGCCGCGUGGGGGAAUGAAUGUCUUCGGAUUGUAAACCCCUGUCAUGUGGGAGCAAAUUAAAAAGAUAGUACCACAAGAGGAAGAGACGGCUAACUCUGUGCCAGCAGCCGCGGUAAUACAGAGGUCUCAAGCGUUGUUCGGAAUCACUGGGCGUAAAGCGUGCGUAGGCUGUUUCGUAAGUCGUGUGUGAAAGGCGCGGGCUCAACCCGCGGACGGCACAUGAUACUGCGAGACUAGAGUAAUGGAGGGGGAACCGGAAUUCUCGGUGUAGCAGUGAAAUGCGUAGAUAUCGAGAGGAACACUCGUGGCGAAGGCGGGUUCCUGGACAUUAACUGACGCUGAGGCACGAAGGCCAGGGGAGCGAAAGGGAUUAGAUACCCCUGUAGUC